rnacentral:tRNA from 1 species
GCCUAGGUAGCUUAGUUGGUAGUGCGUCUAGCUUAGUUGGUAGUGCGGUUUCGAUUCCCGCCCGGGGCG